CCUACGGGAGGCAGCAGUGGGGAAUAUUGGACAAUGGGCGAAAGCCUGAUCCAGCAAUGCCGCGUGAGUGAUGAAGGCCUUAGGGUUGUAAAGCUCUUUUACCAGGGAUGAUAAUGACAGUACCUGGAGAAUAAGCUCCGGCUAACUCCGUGCCAGCAGCCGCGGUAAUACGGAGGGAGCUAGCGUUGUUCGGAAUUACUGGGCGUAAAGCGCACGUAGGCGGCUAUUCAAGUCAGAGGUGAAAGCCCAGGGCUCAACCCUGGAACUGCCUUUGAAACUAGAUAGCUAGAAUCUUGGAGAGGUCAGUGGAAUUCCGAGUGUAGAGGUGAAAUUCGUAGAUAUUCGGAAGAACACCAGUGGCGAAGGCGACUGACUGGACAAGUAUUGACGCUGAGGUGCGAAAGCGUGGGGAGCAAACAGGAUUAGAUACCCGUGGUAGUCCACGCCGUAAACGAUGAUAACUAGCUGUCCGGGCACGUUGGUGUUUAGGGUCGGCGCGAGCGUACGACAUUAAGUUAAUUACCGUCCGUGGGAGGUACGGUCGGCGAGAAUUAAACUACAACGAAGUUAGACGGCGNGAGACGUGCCGACGGACGACGACGAGGGAGGUAGG
rnacentral:rRNA from 1 species